rnacentral:rRNA from 1 species
GUAGGGAAUAUUGGGCAAUGGAGGCAACUCUGACCCAGCCAUGCCGCGUGCAGGAUGACGGCCCUCUGGGUUGUAAACUGCUUUUAUACGGGAAGAAAAAAUACUACGUGUAGUAUACUGACGGUACCGUAAGAAUAAGGAUCGGCUAACUACGUGCCAGCAGCCGCGGUAAUACGGAGGAUCCAAGCGUUGUCCGGAUUUAUUGGGUUUAAAGGGUGCGUAGGCGGAUCUUUAAGUCAGUGGUGAAAGCCUGCAGCUUAACUGUAGAAUUGCCAUUGAAACUGAAGAUCUUGAAUGUGGUUAAAGUAGGCGGAAUGUAUCAUGUAGCGGUGAAAUGCUUAGAUAUGAUACAGAACACCGAUAGCGAAGGCAGCUUGCUGAACCAUUAUUGACGCUGAGGCACGAAAGCGUGGGGAGCGAACAGGAUUAGAUACCCUAGUAGUCC